rnacentral:rRNA from 1 species
AACGAACGCUGGCGGCAGGCCUAACACAUGCGAGUCGAACGAACCUUUCGGGGUUAGUGGCGGACGGGUGAGUAACACGUGGGAACGUGCCUUUAGGUUCGGAAUAACUCAGGGAAACUUGUGCUAAUACCGAAUGUGCCCUUCGGGGGAAAGAUUUAUCGCCUUUAGAGCGGCCCGCGUCUGAUUAGCUAGUUGGUUGAGGUAAUGGCUCACCAAGGCGACGAUCAGUAGCUGGUCUGAGAGGAUGAUCAGCCACAUUGGGACUGAGACACGGCCCAAACUCCUACGGGAGGCAGCAGUGGGGAAUCUUGCGCAAUGGGCGAAAGCCUGACGCAGCCAUGCCGCGUGAAUGAUGAAGGUCUUAGGAUUGUAAAAUUCUUUCACCGGGGACGAUAAUGACGGUACCCGGAGAAGAAGCCCCGGCUAACUUCGUG